rnacentral:rRNA from 1 species
ACGCGUGGAGCAUGUGGCUUAAUUUGACUCAACCUGGGAAAUCUUACCAGGUCCAGACAUAUUGAGGAUUGACAGGCGAUAGUAUAUAAAAAUAUAUAUUUUUAUAUGCAUAAAAAUGAUAGUCCUUUCAUGAUUAUAUGAUAGGUGGUGCAUGGCCGUUCUUAGUUCGUGGAGUGAUUUGUCUGCUUAAUUGCGUUUCAGUAAAUAAAAUAUAUGAUAUAUUAUAAUAUUUAGUUCUGCCUUUAUGGAUUUAAAGUGAACAUAUUAUAUAUAUUAUUAUAUAAUAAAUGAAUGCAACGAACGUGACCGUAACCUUUUAUUGCUAUUAUUAUUUAAUUAUAGCAUAAAAUUAAAGGGACCGCUGUCAUUACUAAAUAUGUGUUAAAAUAGAGUAAGAUUACGGCAAUAACAGGUCUGUGAUGCCCUCAGAUGUUCUGGGCUGCACACGUGCUACAAUAAUUACAUUAAUAAGUAUAUAUACUUUAUAAUAUAUAAUAUUAUAUUACAACCUAUUUCGAAAGUAAAUCGGUAAUCAUUUAAAAAUCGUGAUUAAUUAAUAUAAAUAUAAUUAAUUUAAGGUGGGGAUAGUGUAUUGUUAAUUAUUACACUUGGCCUUAACUAGGAAUGCCUUGUACUCUUCUUUGGUUUAACAUACCAAGAGGAAUACNNCCCUGCCCUUUGUACACACCGCCCGUCGCUCUUACCGAUGAAUUAUAUUAUAAAUCUAAGGGAUUUAUUAUAAUUAAAAUAUAAAAAACUUAUAUACAUAAUGUGAUUUAAAGGAAAGAGAAGUCGAACAAGGCA